ensembl:lncRNA novel transcript
AGGACAGAGCAAUGGAGGGAAGCCAGAUUUAAUGUCAGAAGUCUGGACCAUCAAUUUUAUCCCUUCCCAUUGCCUCCUUUUAAAUUUUAGUCAAUUCAAUAAAUAUUUUCAACUCCUCGUCUGUACCAGGCACCAAGCCACAGAAUGGAGUUCUGGCAAUGAACACUGCAGACAUGGCCGCCUUUAGCCUCAUGGAGCUUAGGGUCUGGGAGCAUUGUCAGUUUCUGAAUCCUCCAAGUGCUAAACUAUCUUCUCUCUUCAAAUUAGAGAAAAGAAAUGAGACAGCAGGCCUGCUUCUUUGAGUGUUUUUUUCUUUUUUGUUUCCGUUUUCUGACAACCAUACUUCACGUCUGACAGAGGAAAUGAUUCUUUUUGUCAGUGAUAAAUUUAUGAGUUUUGACUGUUUGUGAAGUUCCCUAAUUAAUUCUUUAUAGACUUCUAUUGGCAACUGAAUUUGUGUUUUGAGUUAAAAAUGGGAGUUCAGAUGAAUUACAGUUGAACAUUCUGCUCCCUUUGAAGAGCUCAUACUCCACAUUCUACGCUGUUAAUCUCUCUGCUUACUGAGAGGCACCGUUUGUCUUGCAGUGACGCACGGUGGGUGGUUACCAUGGCAUAGGAAAACAUUGCCAGCGCUGGCCCUGUCGUCAUGGAACCCCUGGGCCAUCUCCUGAGAAACUUGGUAAGGGCUCCCAAGCCGCCCAUACCUCCUUGGCACCACAAGUGUAGCUUUUUAUUUUGUGUGUGGGCAGCUUGACAUCUGCACCUGACCAAGAGAUUGAUGUGGCUAAACAAAUUUAGGAAAUGAGCAGCAGUGGAUCUCUGUUCAGAGAGGGAGGAGGAGAGAGAAGGAGGGAGGGAAGAAAGGAGAGAGGGAGAGAGCCAGAAAACAGAGCAAGAUAAAGGAAGAGAAUGCACCUGAAAUAGACACAAGGAUAAAUGGAUCAAGGAGAGAGGAGAAACAGAUAAUCACAACAGCGAAUAUUUGUUAAAUGCAUGCUCUUUGCCAGACUCUCCAAGAUAUGCAGAGCUUUGGGCCAGGAUCCUACAGCCACGGGUCAUGCAGAGCCAGUUGGCCACAUCCUUUGGGCCAAAUUUGGUCCUAACCAGGUCUUACCACGGUAACUGCUAACCAGUCCAUCUUCAGUUAAUAUUUCAUGCAAAACAAUGGGCAAGUCAGCUCAUGAAGAACUUUUCAGAUAUUCAGACUAUUAUUCUGAGAGAGAAAAUAUUGGCAGAGAACAGAUGGGAUUUUUCUCAAGGAAAAGAAAUGGAAAUCCUACAUCUUGCAAGAAAUAGAAAAAAAUAAAUAAACUGUUUGAAGAAGAAUCACAUCAGGCUGGCAGGAGAGAGCCUGCGGCUCGGUGUCUGACCCAGAAUGUUAAAGCCAGCCUGGCUUGGCUCCAGGAUAAAGGACACUCUGUCAGCCUCUCCACAUUGAUUCAUCUCCCCAGCCCCAAGAUCAGGAGAGCAUUCUGUUCCUUGAAGCAUUUUAUGACUGUAAGUCAGAAGUGCUGCAGUUUUAAUAAAAAGCUGUAUUGUCCU